AAUAGAUUAGUUGUGGGCCCAGGAAAGAGAACAGGAGAGAAGGGAACUGAUCUUUUCAUUUGACAGAGGUAUAGGUAUGGAGGUGAGGCAAGAUAGUGUGCAACAGUAGAGGCUGAGGACACCCAUGUGUGUUCUGUGCAAUGGCAAGAAGUCUAGCCAGAGAGGGAAAGACAUUGAGAGACAGGCUUGGGAAAAAGACCAAGAAAAGCUUCAUGUCUUAUGUUUAUACAACACAGGUAGGAAGCUUUGUGUAGGCAGAAUGGCCCAGGUGUAGAGUUGCUAUACAAGCUGUAGCUCCAGGACUGGUGCAGUCAUAGGAAGACCUCCCUGAAUUUGGGCACCUACUGGCUUCAUCAUCUUCUAAAAACAUUUCACAAUUUGCUUAAUUCUUCAGGGGAAUCGUAUAAGAAAUACACUAACUUAGAACUUAGUCAUCGUCCAAAUGAAGGUAGUGUGAGUUCUGUUCUCAUUGAAAACCUGAAAUAUCUAAAUUUAGCUCAUUUUGCCUUAACUGUUUUAUUGUUAAUUACCUAGAAGGAGAAACAAACCAAAAUAAAUCACCUCUAAAUGUUCUAGAGAGCAGAGCAACGUUGUCAUAGUCUAAGCUCGCUCUUCUAAUUUUUCCCAGAUGGAAUUUCCCAUGUUCCUUGUUCAGACAACUCUAAACAAGCAGGCAUUUCCCUUAAACUAACUGUUUGACCUUUUCCAAAAGUAAAAACAAAAGGAAAAAACAAACAAACAAGCAAAUGAGUUCCAAUACAAAGAUUAUCAGCAGCUGGUGCCCU